GUCAUUAUUCUUCAGUCCGUUGUCCUUUGUGAUAACAUAUCUGUACUUAUACGUUUGUUCAUUUAGGAUAGACAAGGCUCAAAGCCACGCUAGCUGACAUUAGCCGGAUAUGUUAUAACAAAGGACAACAGACUGAAGAAUAAUGA
rnacentral:pre_miRNA from 1 species